rnacentral:rRNA from 1 species
UGGCAUAACGAGGGCUUAACUGUCUCCUUUUUCCAGUCAAUGAAAUUGAUCUCCCCGUGCAGAAGCGGGGAUAAUUACAUAAGACGAGAAGACCCUAUGGAGCUUUAGAUAAGAGAUGGACCAUGUUAAUAAAUCUAUUUAAUAAGAACAAACUUAUUGGUCACCAUUUUAAUAUCUUUGGUUGGGGCGACCGCGGGGUAAUAAUUAACCCCCAAGUGGAAAAAGAGAACCUCUCUCAUAACCUAGACUGACAAAUCCAAGUAUCAGAAAAUCUGACCAAAAAUGACCCGGCAAAGCCGAUCAACGAACCGAGUUACCCUAGGGAUAACAGCGCAAUCCUCUCCUAGAGCCCAUAUCGACAAGAGGGUUUACGACCUCGAUGUUGGAUCAGGACAUCCUAAUGGUGCAGCCGCUAUUAAGGGUUCGUUUGUUCAACGAUUAAAGUCCUACGUGAUCAGAGUUCAGAAAAAGGGGAGACCUGUUUAUCAAAAACAUAUACGUGAUCUGAGU